UACGUAGGGUGCGAGCGUUAAUCGGAAUUACUGGGCGUAAAGCGCGUGUAGGUGGUGGGACAAGUCUGCUGUGAAAGCGCCUGGCUUAACCGGGCGAGGUCGGCGGAAACUGUCCGACUAGAGGACGGUAGAGGGGGGUGGAAUUCCCGGUGUAGUGGUGAAAUGCGUAGAGAUCGGGAGGAACACCUGUGGCGAAGGCGGCCCCCUGGGCCGGCCCUGACACUGAGACGCGAAGGCGUGGGGAGCGAACGGG
rnacentral:rRNA from 1 species